GACGAACGCUGGCGGCGUGCUUAACACAUGCAAGUCGAACGGAAAGGCCCUGCUUUUGUGGGGUGCUCGAGUGGCGAACGGGUGAGUAACACGUGAGUAACCUGCCCUUGACUUUGGGAUAACUUCAGGAAACUGGGGCUAAUAUCGGAUAGGAGCUCCUGCUGCAUGGUGGGGGUUGGAAAGUUUCGGCGGUUGGGGAUGGACUCGCGGCUUAUCAGCUUGUUGGUGGGGUAGUGGCUUACCAAGGCUUUGACGGAUAGCCGGCCUGAGAGGGUGACCGGGCACAAUGGGACUAAGGUACGGCGCAGACUCCUACGUGAGGCAACAGUGGGAAAUAUUGCACAAUGGGCGGGAGCGUGAUGCAGCAGCGCCGCGUGCGGGAUGACGGCCUUCGGGUUGUAAACCGCUUUCGCCUGUGACGAAGCGUGAGUGACGGUAAUGAAUAAAGAAGCACCGGCUAACUACGUG
rnacentral:rRNA from 1 species